AGGGAGCUUUAUGGAGGAAAGUCUGAGGAGGCUUCACAAGUUAAUUAACCUUUGAUCUGAAUAUUGAGAAGUGAGAUGGGCACCUAACCAGUUAGAAAAGGGGAGAAGAAGUAGACAAGUGACAGGAAUGACAUUAAACUUCAUUUUCUAUGAUGAAAUGACAAACCCAUGUGGAAUUGGAGGAUGGUUUUGAGCACAGUCAGUGUGGCUGAAAAACCUGGCCUCUGGAGCCGGAAUGC
rnacentral:lncRNA from 1 species